ACAGGACAUGAGUACUUUCCCUCUCUUUUUGAGUGUUGAUGCUGCUCUUCAUGUGUGAAAAUCGGAUUAAAAAUUAAUAUUUUCAAUGCACCCAUGGAUAAUGCAAAGCUCCACAACACAAUGAGUGCAUGUGACCAACAGAUGGAGCAAGACGUUCAAAGCGCCACAGUGAUUUGUAUGCUGGGGCGAAAGGACAACGGCGGAUUGGAGGCAGAAAAACAGCCGUUCGCCAUUCGUGUUCGCUCAGUCGCUGGUUGAAAGAUGAGCAACGACGAGGCAGGGAGGGGCAUGGAGUGAUGAAAAAAACGUUAGAUGAGAGGCCUCUUAGCAGACAGACGGGGAGAGGGGUCAGCCACUGCUGAGCUGCGGGGAGCUGGAAUAACUUAGAAACACACUCUGCAAAUUACUGCCCCUGUUUGAGAAUCUCUCAUUCAGCUAUUCCUCUGCCCCGGCAAGAGCUACAAUGUGAUGCAGAGUAAGAAAUUGUAAUACUGCGCUCUAGUUUUGAGAUGUGGUAGAUACCCAUGUCUGGUGUGUAUUUAAGAUAUGGUGGUUCCUUUUUUUUCCCUCUCUGGCUCUAACUUUCUUCAGUUUUGCCAGAAUCAUCCCAAAAAAAAAAAAAAAGACCCAACUUUCACCUUUAUCCCAACUUUAACCCUAAGAUGAAAACAGACCAAAAGUUUCGUCAUGACUAUCAGUUUUCACAUUUCAGACUUUGUUGCUUUUUUGAAAAAUCUGUGAUGGCUACCAAACGGUUCAAAGAGGGGUUAUGAUACCCAUGAAGAAGAUGGUUCUGGAAGUGGGAGCUGAGCGUCCAGAUUCACAGGUCAGGCCUCGUAAAUUACCAUGGAAACAGCAGUGUCAGGUUGAAGGAGAAAUAACUCUUGCAAAACCUCUGCACACACAUUCAACAGCCCCGAUCCAAGAUGUGAUUCUUGUGUUCACAAAUCUCGUUUGUUCUCACUCUGCUGCUGUUAUAAUUCACUGUAAACCUUUGCAGUUUAAUGUAUUGUAAUAUUUUUCGUAUGUCCUGAUUUUCCCUCCCAUUUUGUUGUUUUUUCACAUUCCCAAUCCCGGCCUCGGCCUUUCAGUCUCCUGGGGCUGCAGCAGGUCUCAUCAGUCGGUUAUAGGCAUGGAGGAUGCCGUCCGUCAUGUGGGGUCACCAGUCUGAGUGGAAUGCUCCAUGUCAGGGAUGUCAGGGGGGUGAAACGUGGGGUCCCAAGGGAGAAAAAAGCCAGAGAGACUGAGCUCCACCUCCGGCCAAUCACUGCUGCAUGUGCUGCUUGUGUAGUGUCUUUCAUCAAAGCACACAGGUGUGCACCGCACCUGCACGUACACACACACACACACACACACACACACACACACAUGCGCUGCAUUUUCUCUCUCACUUAUACUCACGUGCAAGCUCAGUGUUGUGACCUCGUGCUGGAGUGCUCACAUGUUACCAAGCACACCACUCAUAUGCUCAUGCAUGCCGCCUCUUAUAAAGGUCUAAUGUUGUCUGCAGACAGUGCAAAAUGUUUUUUAUUGCAUGUUGAAGAACAGAAGUGUAACAGGUUAUUGGUACGAAUGGGGGUCUACAUACCAUUACCGUGUUUUGUG